rnacentral:rRNA from 1 species
UACAGAGGUCUCAAGCGUUGUUCGGAUUCAUUGGGCGUAAAGGGUGCGUAGGUGGCGCCAUAAGUCAGGUGUGAAAUCUCGGGGCUUAACUCCGAAACUGCAUUUGAUACUGUGGUGCUUGAGGACUGGAGAGGAGACUGGAAUUCACGGUGUAGCAGUGAAAUGCGUAGAGAUCGGGAGGAACAUCAGUUGCGAAGGCGGCUCUCUGGACCAGCACUGACACUGAGGCACGAAAGCGUGGGGAGCAAACAGG